GCUGAUGUAGCUCAAUUGGUAGAGCAACUGACUUGUAAUCAGUAGGUUGGGGGUUCAAUUCCCUUCAUCAGCU
rnacentral:tRNA from 1 species